UUGUUGACAAACGCAUGUACAAACUCACAUUCAACAAGAUUUAUUACGUUCUACUAUCGGUCAAAUGUUCCAAUCAACCAAACAUCCUAGCUAGUCAUCAAUUCCCAGUACGACGAACAGUUCGAGAAAAUAAAGGAGCAAUAUAGACGAGUCACAAGACCCAUAAUUCAAUUAUACAUGCAGGGCCAGGGCCGACCAGGACUACGUGGGAAGAACAUUCCUUUCGGCCAUUGUCAUCCGUCAUGACUCAUCUCACCCUCGACGUUUUUUUAUCCUAAUUUUGCAUUUUUGCCUCGAACUCAGCAAUUACAUUUUUCUUCAUUUCCAGGUAAGCAAUAAUCUCCCAUUCCGAUGGACAGCAGGCAGAACUUCUUUGAUAGUUUCUCUCCAGAAGCACCGCCUAGAUGGGUCAAGCGGCUAAAUAGCUCUUUCAUCUCUCUUCAAUGAUUUUUGAGUUUGUUGGCCAAUGUUCUCUCUUUGACGGCGGUCUUUGAGAAUGGACAAAAGUCGUGAACGGAAGGAUGACAAGCAAUAUAUCAUCGUUGCAUAGAAGCAAUGGGAGGCUCACUUCCCGGGUCCCGCUUGCUAGAGCAUUGCUAAAUGACAGACGUUAUAAGUUCACAAUUGAGUUAAUAUCGGUGUAAAUCCACAAAAGUAGACAACUGAUAGACCCAAAGUUAAUAAAGGGGAUUUGGGAAGAAAGGAAUAGAGGUGGGCUUCAAGGUCUUGACUCUUGAAGUGAAUUAGGUACCGGCGAGCAUAUAAAUUAAAGUCUACGCAGAAAUCCUUUCUUAGACAAAGUAUUUCUCAUCCGAAACCCAAAAAAGAGGUUGUCACGAGAAGGGUUCAGAAUCGGGUUUUCAAUUGAGCCAACAUACAUUACGGGUUGGAAUACCAAAUUUCGGAUCGGAUUUCCAGUAUCUACCGACGAUGGCUUUCAGAAUAUCUCAUUAAAUCUGUCAUAAAAGGGGUCAAGGAAUAAAGACAGACAGUUCUUAAAGUUGGUGGGAACCAAAUGAUGUUAUAAAAUAAGAAAUAUGUCGAGCCCCACUAUUGUACAAAUUCAUGUUGCAAAAAGUCUCAUUUUCUUUUCAUGUAAUCUACGGUCCCAAAAUCUCUUCUUCCACUUAGAAAAAUCUGGGGCUCUAUGACCAUCUUAUAAACUGUCGGAGAAAAAAUUUGUAUCACAGAAUUGUCUGCCCUCGCAGAAAUUUUUCGAGUCUUAGAGGGCUUUCUUUAUUUGAAAGAAGUUAGAGCAUUCCUUGAGCGCAGCUUCAACAUCAUCCAGAGAAGCCACUGCAGCCACGACACCUUUGUUUUUAACUGACUCAAUUGCAUCGGCAAAUUCCCUGAAGUCUUGCAUCCUGUGAGGAAAAGAGAAAAAUCUUGCACUUUACUUGAGUAAAGGUUCAAAGGUACCCAAAAACCAAGGCCAUUUAGAAAGAAGGAAACUCAACUUCAUUCUGUAUCUAUAGAUAUUUUGCAUCAUUUUAGUCCAUUUAUCUUAAACUUAAGAGCCACUAGUUUUUUUAAGCUUGUUUUUGUCAUAAUUUCCUCGGUUUGGAGAAAAAUAACUUUAUUCCUUCCA